GACGAACGCUGGCGGCGUGCUUAACACAUGCAAGUCGAACGGAAAGGCCCUGCUUUUGUGGGGUGCUCGAGUGGCGAACGGGUGAGUAACACGUGAGUAACCUGCCCUUGACUUUGGGAUAACUUCAGGAAACUGGGGCUAAUACCGGAUAGGAGCUCCUGCUGCAUGGUGGGGGUUGGAAAGUUUCGGCGGUUGGGGAUGGACUCGCGGCUUAUCAGCUUGUUGGUGGGGUAGUGGCUUACCAAGGCGUUGACGGGUAGCCGGCCUGAGAGGGUGACCGGCCACAUUGGGACUGAGAUACGGCCCAGACUCCUACGGGAGGCAGCAGUGGGGAAUAUUGCACAAUGGGCGGAAGCCUGAUGCGGCAACGCCGCGUGCGGGAUGACGGCCUUCGGGUUGUAAACCGCUUUCGCCUGUGACGAAGCGUGAGUGACGGUAAUGGGUAAAGAAGCACCGGCUAACUACGUG
rnacentral:rRNA from 1 species